UCUAAACUCCAGAAUUGUGCUAUCUGUUAAAUGAUUCAUAUUCCUGUAACUCACAUGCUAUUUGAUUCAAAUAUUUGUAGCAUAGAAAUGUAUGUGUGUGCAGUAUAAACAAGAAGAGUGCAUUUUUGUUUCCAAAUAAAAUAGAAAUUCUAUCUGGAAUGCUUGAGACAGCUCUAAACUUGUAGUUCCAAGUAUAGGUUCCUAUUCUAAAUCCAAUUCUGUUCUUUCUGCUAUCCUAAAAUUACCAAUGUUUUUCUCUGUCUUCAAAGAAACUGUAUUAGAAAUUCUAUGAAAAAUCAGUUUAUUUCGCUUGUUACCAAGGGCAGGGAUAUAUAGUCACUAUUAAAAUCACUUUUGUAACUAAUUUUUUUUUGCAAUAAGGGCACCAAUCUAACUACAAAAAUCUGGAGCCACAGAGAGAAAAAUAAAAUUUGUCACUAACAUAUCAUGCUAUUGAAUUAAGGUUGCCUUUCAGUCUGGCUGGAUUGGGAGAUUUUCUGUUCUGGGUAAGGUCUGCAGGAGUCACAGUUUCCUCUACACAUGUUGGAAGUGUUCUUUAGACUGCAAGAGUUGAAUACUGAAAAGCAUCAACAACUACAGAACAGUUUGCAACCUUUGUAAGACUCUGUAGACUGUGAGGAGGAAUACUUACAUUCUUUCAUUUCAUCACUUUGUAUACUUUAGAUCAUUGUAGGUUAAAAGAGAAUAAUUUGGAGAAUUCAAGGAGAACUAUGAUAGUAGGUUUUCUGAAGGGCUCAAACAGUUCCUAAGAGAUUUAAGCAAGCUUAAUUCAAAAUCCGGGUGAAAGGGAAAAGGUAUGGAAGUCACACAGGAUAAAAAUGAAUACUGUAAAUAAUUGUGCCCUCCUUAGCACUUACUAUUAUAGUCUUUGUUUCAGUCUUCAAUUCCUUUACAUGUAGAAAGGGUUGAGACACAUGAAAGGAAAAAUUAUUUUAAUGUUGUUAUUCAGAUAAGCUUCCAAAAAAAGUUGUACUUAUUCCUUCCUUUAUUCAAAACUGUUUUGCCUAAGUUUGACAAUAUAUAAUCCAGCAAAAUACAUGUUGUGAAUAAGUGAAAACAGUUAUUAAGAAUAUGCAUGCCUUAUGUCUAUAUAUCCCUGAAGCCUCCCCUUGAAUGCUGGAAUAAUAUUUCAAAUUAAAGGGCACAAAAAAAAAAAAAAUAAAAUCAAAACACUUUAAGUUUUGUAGUCGUAUUUAUUAAAUAUACUGAGUACAGAAAGUAAACAUGGAACACAUGGGUGAAAGUUCUUCCCAAUGCUUUCAAGUCCAGUAUAAGCAGGACCAUGUAUGUAUCAUACACUAUUUGUCUCAAACUGCUUUCACUAGCCAGGGAAGUUAAAGUCUACUUUUCUUAACCUGUGCAUGUUAGGAUUAGACUGAGAUUGUGUAUUCUUACUCCUUUAAUUAUGUUUUUCAGAUAUCCAUGUGGUCCUCCGCUUGCUGCAUCAUGUAUCAGCUCUACUCCUUUAUCACUUGUAAGUACAAAGCAGAACACAAGGCAAAACUCUGACUACAAUUACCUAAGUUUUGACAGGGUUAUGUUCGAGGCCUCUCAAUUGUUUACAGAUAAUUGAGAUAUUUUGUAAAAUUUAAAUAUAAAUAAUUUCUUGCCUCCAUCAGGAUUUCUGCAAGAGUUCAGAGUGGGGAAAAAAACUGUGGAAAUAUCCACUAAGCAAUUAAAAAAUUCUCCCUGGGACUGAAGUGGGCCAAGAAAGCAAGCAACCACCAUGAUAAGUCAAGUUGGGAGAAACCCUUGCAGGUGUAAUUGUGCACAUUUGAAGACUCAUAGUUCUAGGGACGAAGAUCACCAUAUCUUUAAUAUUUUCUAUUUUUUCUGUAUUAAUAUUUUUGUUUGUUUGUUUUCAGGAGGGGAACAUUGGUAAUUGAUAUAAAGAGAGAAGAUGAUAAAAUGAUGGUGGGGAACAGUGGAUGUGUGUAGAGUUAUAAAUUCACUAAAACUGAUAAUUUUCUUCUCUAGAAACACUCUGCUAACAGAGCAUUAAUGGCAACUAGGUUACGAGAAAAAUUAUUCAAAAGAUAUUUAUUACUAAGCUGCUACUUAAUAAUCUAUUCUAUUCUUAACCUUCUAUUCCUUACUUAGCUGCCUCAAGCACAAGGGGUCUAGGAGAACAUAGAACAUUUUGUAUCACAUAGCACUCACUUGAGCAUGUUGUGUUGGAAAAUAAAAAAAGCAGUGUGACUAAUUUGCUGUCUUUAUGAUCCCAACAAACUGUGUGAACCUUUUUUUUUAUAGGGAGAACAUUAAAAAUUAAUGGAUUUCCUUUCGGAGAUUUGCAGCUCCCAGAACUUUCUAUCCACUUGGAUCCAUACCAUAUGUAAUUCUUCUUGCUUUGUACCCUCAAUUAUAGAAUGGAGAUUCAUGUUUCAGUUAGUCUUUAACUUCUUUACCUGUUUGGCCUUCUUUCUUCCUGACAGGAAUAAAAUAAGUUUGUUCUUUUUUCUGUGACCUUACAUGUAUGAUUUUUUUUCCCCAUUUUAAAGCUUAAAAAGCAAUGUGGUUACACUCUUUUCUGUGUAAGCACAUAUUUAUUGCUUGAGAAGGGCUUGUGUGUCCUAGAUGAUAUUAUCUCUAGCAGUAGCUACUGCAACAUCAGUUUUGUAGGACAGACACGCUAGCUUGUCACUUGUCUUAGCCUGGCAUCCCUUGGGGGUAUUUUGGAUCAUAUUGAUGUUUAUUUCAGGUGCUCAUUCUGAUCAUCUUCAACAAGGUCAUAAAUAACUCAGUUACUCAGCUGUUUUAUUCCUGUUUCAAUUUCAUUCUCUUGCAGAUAAAGUUGUCUCGGUUUUUGGGGUUUUUUUUGUUUUUUUUUUUUAUGCUUUGGCCUUUCUUUUUAAUAUUGUCUUUUUUGCUCUCCUGUAUCAUGCUGGAUUUGUAUACAUUUUUGACAAAACAGAACUGUUUUCCAUUCUCCUAUAUUUCUCCAUAAUUAUACUCUAGUACUAAACAAAUUUGAAAUGUACAAAUAAUGGAUGGAAACCAGCUACAUAAACCCCCUGUGCUGAAAGAUAUUGUACUGUGAAGGACUUUAUUAUUACAUGUAAUUGGAUUCUAACAUUGAAAAUAAAUGUUAAACAUUAAAAGGA